AUUGAACGCUGGCGGCAGGCCUAACACAUGCAAGUCGAGCGGAGCGGCGGACGGGUGAGUAAUGCCUAGGAAUCUGCCUGGUAGUGGGGGAUGACGUCCGGCCACGGGCGCUAAUACCGAAUACUAUCAGAUGAGCCUAGGUCUGAUUAGCUAGUUGGUGGGGUAAAGGCCUACCAAGGCGACGAUCCGUAACUGGUCUGAGAGGAUGAUCAGUCACACUGGAACUGAGACACGGUCCAGACUCCUACGGGAGGCAGCAGUGGGGAAUAUUGGACAAUGGGCGAAAGCCUGAUCCAGCCAUGCCGCGUGUGUGAAGAAGGUCUUCGGAUUGUAAAGCACUUUAAGUGGGGAGGCGGGACAAAAAGAAUAAGCACCGGCUAACUUCGUGCCAGCAGACGCGGGAAGUC
rnacentral:rRNA from 1 species